CACUUGAACCAUAGGUGUCAGUAGGUAUCCUUAAAAAUGAUAAGUAUAUGAUAGAAACACGUGCAUGGUGGGGCUUUUUGUCAAUUGUCUGUUGUUACAUGAGCACUUGUAAUAAAAUAUUUUGGCGGGACCUGUACGUAUAAGAUCUUCGCUCGUUACUAGAGGUGAAAAAAUUAAAACAGCAUGCCACGCCGUCUGUGUAUGGGGUUGCUGGGUAUGUGGAGCAAGGAAAGUAUGGAUGGUGCUCUAGCAUCUAUUGCUGCUGGAAUGCCACUCAAUAGAGCCAGUAUUACCUACGGGAUACCUAGACGAACCCUUCGAAGGUAUGUAGCAGAAGGUAAACAGGAAAAAUCAUCUCUUGGCCGAAAAACCAUACUAACAAGUGCCCAAGAAUGUGAACUAGCUACGCGCAUCAUUCGUCUGGCAGAAGUUGGUUACCCACUUACUUCAAGGGUCCUGCGUAAAUGUGUAUAUCGUUACACCAACAAAAUAAAAAACCCUUUUCGUGUGACCACGGAAAUGGCAGGGCGCUAUUGGUUGUGGGAAUUCUUAAAAAGAAAUACUCAGAAAGUCACAAAACCUAAACCCAGGCAGGGCCCAGAAACUCAAUAAAUUUAUUGUAAAGGACCAUUUUGAAAAGCUUGAGACAAUUCUUAAGAAACUCGAUAUCAUCGAUAAACCGGAGCGGAUUUAUAACGUGGAUGAAAAGGGCUGCCGCUUGAGCUUACAUCAUCAACAAAAGGUGCUUGCAAAAAAGGGGGCUCGGCGGGUUCAUAUUGUUGCCCAUGAACACGGAGAAAGUGUCACAAUUUUCUCAUGUGGCAACGUAUUAGGAGCAGCAGUACCUCCAAUGGUACUGUUCAAAGGAAAACGAAUGAAAUCUGAAUGGCAAGAUGCUCUUCCCCCCGGGGCCAUCGCACACAUGACACCAAAAGGUAGCAUGAACGUUGACACAUUCUCCCUGUGGCUUGAACAUUUCGCGAAACUCAAAGUGCCUGGACCCUGCAUUAUAGUCUUCGAUGGUGCCAAAUGCCACUUAGGGCGGCCGUACACGGACUGCUCGAGCAGUUAGCGGCUGAGCGACGUACACGGACCGCUCGAGCGGUCGGUUGUUGGCUGCUCGAGCUACGCUACCAACCGCUCGAGCAGUUGAUUUACCACAGUCGAGUCAAUGGAUUCUGACGAGGAAGCACUGCUUUUGCUGCUUCCGCUCAAGCGGAGACGACGACGGCGGCGACGUCAAAACAGAAAAUUUUGGGUUCAUCCAAUUUUGGAAUUAAGAGAACAACAUGGACAAUUCCAUCAUUUGUUUAUGGAACUUAUAAGUGAUGAAGAAAAAUUUUUCAACUAUUUUAGAAUGUCAAAUCACUUCGUUUGAUGAAUUGAAUAAUAUACUAAAAUCUAAAAUUAAACGUGAAGACACAAUUAUGAGGAGAAGUAUCCAACCAGAAGAAAGACUAGCAGUAAUAUUGAGAAAUAUUGGAAAUGACAUCAUCGGACAAUACUGAAGAUGAUGAAAGGUCUUCAAAUUGAGAAUUUUGGUCAUCAGCCACUGACGUAGAGGGGCCAGACGCUGAUCUAGAGAGGCACUGAUGUAGAGGUUGAGGGGCCUGUAUUAUAACCCCAUUGUCCUCGGUAAUCAUUAAACGAUUUCAAUUUUUUCUGUAUUAACAUGGCUGUAACAACAACAAAAUAUUUAUUAGUAUAAUUGAUUGAUUUAAAAAUAUGUUUUUACAGGUAUUUGGCAACUGGAUGUACAUUUAUGGAUUUGCAUUAUAGUUUUAGAAUAGCAUCAACAACAAUAGGUAAGAUAGUGAGGGAUGUUUGCAGAAAUAUAUGGAUACAUAUGAAGGAUAUGUGUAUGGAACAACUAACUGAAGAUAAAUGGAAAGACAUAAUAAAUGGUUUCAAAAAAACUGCUAAGUUUCCGAACUGCCUCGGUCCCGUUGAUGGCAAACAUAUAAAAAUAAUACAACCCGCGCAAAGUGGAUCGGCAUAUUAUAACUAUAAAAAUUAUUUUUCGAUAAUACUUCUAGCAGUAUGUGAUAAUAAUUAUAUGUUCACUUUCGUGGAUAUAGGCUCAUAUGGAAGGCACGCUGACUCGACUAUUUUCGAAGAGAGUUGUCUAUAUAAAAUGUUACAAGAAAAAAAGUUAAAUAUACCUCCACCUUCUACAAUAUCACGUUAAGCAAGCGUUGCAGGAAAAUUUAAUGCGUCCAUAUGGUGGCAAGAAUUUAGCAGAGAAAAAAUUAAUUUUUAACUAUCGGUUAUCACGUGCGAGGCGAUAUAUUGAAUGCACGUUUGGCAUAUUAGCUAAUAACUGGCGGAUCUUUCAUAGACCACUUAACGUCAGUGUUGAUUUCGCAGUGGAUAUAGUAAAAUCAUCAUGUGUUCUUCAUAACUACGUAAAACAACGAGAUGGAAAUAAAUUAGAGGAUACGUUUGAGGGUCUUUCUCAUUCUAUAAUACAUUCAACCCAGCAAGUUCGUCCAGGUGGACCUAUGUUAACGACAAUCCGUGAAGAAUUUGCUAAUUACUUUGUGAGCGAGGAAGGCAAACUAGAUUGGCAAUGGAAUAUGAUAUAAAUCAAUAAAUAUGUGUGUGACUUUAUAAUAUGACAUAAACUUAAUAAAUGUGCGUGUAAAAUGACUGACUUUUUUACUUACCGACUUGAUUUUUUUCUUGAACUGGUUUUUCAUCAAAGUUCUCAAUUACUUGGGCGCAAAUAAUUGCCCAUGCAUUGUUCUUCUUUAUUUUGUCGCUGUGUUCCUUAAGUUUAUAGUUCCAAAUAAGUUCUUGCGUUUUAAUUGCACUAAUAAGCGCAUCACUAUCGCACACGCCCUCCAUGUUCAAAGAUCAGUCGACAAAUGAGACGAGCGAGACAGACAGACGCCGCGAGGCCACAAGGGCCGGGGGGAGAUCGGAAAGCUGUCGACUGCUCUAGGUCUAGCGCAGUCAACGGCUCGAGCAGUCGGUGUAUGCCUCGCGACCGCUCGCGCGCGGUUGACGGCACGAUGGAAUUUCGUCAUGCAGUUGACGGCUUGAAGCGGUCGCGACUGCUCGAGCAGUCGUGUGUACGGCAGCGAAUGAAUGACUAUAGUUCACCGCGCGGUCGCGGCUUUAAGCAGUCAGUCUCAACUGCUUGAAGCAGUCCGUGUACGGCCGCCCUUAGACCACAGCAUCGUAACUACAGCAGAUAAACAUGACAUUACAUUGUACUGUCUUCCCAUAGUAGGGGAGCUAGCACGAAAUCCGCUGAACGAGAAUGAUCAAAAUUUUAA